rnacentral:rRNA from 1 species
GACGAACGCUGGCGGCGUGCUUAACACAUGCAAGUCGAACGAUGAAGCUGGAGCUUGCCCCGGUGGAUUAGUGGCGAACGGGUGAGUGACACGUGAGAAAUCUGCCCUUGACUCUGGGAUAACUGCGGGAAACUGUAGCUAGUCCCGGAUAAUUUCCUUCGUGGGCAUCCCCUGGGGAAGAAAGAAUUUCGGUCAAGGAUGAUAUCGCGGCCCAUCAGCUUGUUGGUGAGGUAAUGGCACACCAAGGCGACGACGGGGAGCCGGCCUGAGAGGGUGACCGGCCACACUGGGACUGAGACACGGCCCAGACUCCUACGGGAGGCGGCAGUGGGGAAUAUGGCACAAUGGGCGCAAGCCUGAUGCAGCAACGCUGCGUGAGGGAUGAAGGCCUUCGGGUUGUAAACCUCUUUUAGCAGGGAAGAAGCGAAAGUGACGGUACCUGCAGAAAAAGCACCGGCUAACUACGUGCCAGCCGCCGCAGUAA